rnacentral:rRNA from 1 species
GAUGAACGCUGGCGGAGUGCCUAACACAUGCAAGUCGAGCGGCAGCGCGAGUAGUUUACUACUUGGCGGCGAGCGGCGGACGGCUGAGUAACGCGUGGGAACAUGCCCCAAAGUGAGGAAUAACUGCCCGAAAGGGUAGCUAAUGCCGCAUACGAUCUUCGGAUUAAAGGAUUUAUCCGCUUUGGGAGUGGCCUGCGUACGAUUAGAUAGUUGGUGAGGUAAUGGCUCACCAAGUCUACGAUCGUUAACUGGUUUGAGAGGAUGAUCAGUCAGACUGGAACUGAGACACGGUCCAGACUCCUACGGGAGGCAGCAGUGAGGAAUCUUCCACAAUGGACGAAAGUCUGAUGGAGCAACUCCGCGUGCAGGAUGAAGGCCUUCGGGUCGUAAACUGCUUUAUGAGUGAAGAAUAUGACGGUAACUCAUGAAUAAGGGUCGGCUAACUACGU